GGGGGCGACCUGGCUUCGACAUGGUCGGGGGACCACAGGCUGCAUGCCGAGAUUCCAUCCAUCUCGUAAAACGGUGGAAAACCAAUAAGUGACGAAAACAACUUCGCACUGGCGGCUUAGUUAAGCCGCUCGUCCCGAGAUCUGGGGGGCACCGAACGGAUCUCAAGGGGCGCCGUAACCGGUGUCUAGUCUGGCGGCAGGCCUCUGGCCAAAGGGCGAAAUUUUUGUGAGGCUAGCCCGGCGGAAGGUAUGUGACCUGGCCGGCCGGCGGGUUAAAUGAACAGGACACUAUGCAUGUAGACGCCGGUGGGGUACCGGUUAUGGACGCGGGUUCGAUUCCCGCCGCCUCCACCA
rnacentral:tmRNA from 1 species